rnacentral:rRNA from 1 species
UACGUAGGGCGCAAGCGUUGUCCGGAAUUAUUGGGCGUAAAGAGCUCGUAGGCGGCUUGUCACGUCGGGUGUGAAAGCCCGGGGCUUAACCCCGGGUCUGCAUUCGAUACGGGGCUAGCUAGAGUGUGGUAGGGGAGAUCGGAAUUCCUGGUGUAGCGGUGAAAUGCGCAGAUAUCAGGAGGAACACCGGUGGCGAAGGCGGUCUCUGGGCCUUACCUGACGCUGAGGAGCGAAAGCGUGGGGAGCGAACAGG